rnacentral:misc_RNA from 1 species
GGGGGCAAAGAGGACCAAAAAUUCUUGGCUUGUGAAGGUGAUAUCAUAAAUGCAUAGAUUUAAACCAAGAGACUUUUUUUUGGGGGGACAAUCCAUAUUGUGUACAUUUUUCUUUCUACGUAAAGAUAAUUUCCUGUACAGAAACUUUUAUACUAAUAGAAAGAAAGAAAUAUUUUUAACGGCAGAUGCCUGUGUUAACAAUAGUUUUCUUUACGUUUUUUGCAGCAACAUCUAUGCAUAUAUAUUGCUUAAUUUAAAUACGGUAUUCUAUGUACAUGUAACUAUGUCAUUUUCAAAACAAUUCCAACAUUUUUUACAAACUUAUAGGAUUUUUCUUACAAACCUUAUGUUAUAUGUUUAUUAUAUUUUGAUUGCGAAAGUAUUUUUCUAAACUAAGGUAUAGUUUUUACAAUUAAAGGGAAUAUUUGCAAGUAUGUUAGCAAAUCACUGUAGGAAUAACAUGGAAGCCGAAUUUGUUUUGAUAAGCGAAAUGAAUGUUUAUAGAAAUUUUGUAAGCACUUGGAGUUGUUUGUAUAAUAUACUAGUCAAUACAAUUUAUAAAUCGAAUUUAUAAGGUUAAAUU